UUACCAGUUAGAAAUGCAUAUUCUUAUAUCAAACAUAAAAGGGGGAUAACUCUCAUAUGGAACAGUGUUCUACCCAGGCCGUUUUACAGGGCCGUAACUAGCCUCUUUUAAUAGUGAGGCAAAAUAUAUUUGCCGAGCGUAGCGAGGCUAAAAAUUUUUGGCGAGGGGUCUGAAGCUCUGAGAAAAAUAACGCAAAAUCGUGCAUUCUGAGCGUUUCCCGGACUUUUUUUUUACAUUGAAACGCAAUUAAUUUUUAGCUAUUUUUUCGACAAUAUUCUGGUCUCAAAGCUAAAACAUAGAUUAAUUGUAAUUUAAGACUUUUAGGUUUCACAGGGACAACAUUAAAAGUAGACCGAUAUGUAGG
rnacentral:lncRNA from 1 species